CCUUGUAUCUUAUAGAGUUUAAUUCCUUUUGCUGUGAUUCUUGCUGGUGCUUGUAGUGUUCUUGGUUGGAAACAGCCACAUAUAUUAUUUGUCAUGUUUGAAGGCCUGUAGCUAUGUUGCAUGCAGCUCCCAAAUAGCUAAGAUGCAGAUUAUGGCAGAUUAUGUAGUUUUGUCAUUUUGAUCAAUGUGUGUGCUUAAUUGAUGUUGUGGUGUUCUCCCUUGCUCCAAUCCAUUCAUGUUGGGUUGUUACAGGUCUUGGCAACCUGGGAAUACCAGAUUUGUGCCAUUGGGGUGUGUGGUGUUGAAUCUUCCACGUAGAGCUUCAUAUCUUGUUCCAUUGAUUCCCGUUGAUC
rnacentral:lncRNA from 1 species